UGAAACAAUCAUACCUAAUUAUUGAGAAAAAACUUUAAGCAUUUAUUAUUUCACAAAAUGAGAAGUAUUUAACGAUAUCAAACAAUCAUAUCAUUAAAUAAUUGAUACAAGUCAUUAAGUAAUUCAUAUAAUUAAUAAAGUAAUAAUAAUAAUUAUCAGAGAGAAAAUUAACAAGAAGGUGAAAAUUAUAAAUUUUACCUAUGUAUAAAUAUUAAUAUUUUGAUUACUUUUAAGGUUAAGUUUUAUCGAAAUCAUAUUGGUCAUAAAUCUGAAGAAGAUAGCUUAUUCUAAAGUCACAUGUAUUUGUGAUACCUAUUAAUAGUUCAAAUGUUUUUUUUUAGGGUAGUAGGUAGCAAUUUUCACGCCAGACGUAAAUACUUAUAUUUUGAAUUUUCCCAUAAUAAUAUGGUUGUAAUACAUACAGUUUUAGUAAAUAUCUAAUCAAUAUUUUUAAUAUUCAUUUUAGCAGUUACCAACGUAUUUACCUAUUAUGAUAGCCGAAAGUCAGAAUCAGAGGAGAAUAUAAGUUAGUAUGUUCUUCAUUAUUCUAUGAAGAUCAAAGAUUAUGUGUUUAAAGCUUUAUGUUUAUAUAGGUACAAUGGUGCAUGUACAGAACAAAUAUUAUAAUUUUAUCUGACAAUUUUUGUAUUUUAUAUUUGGUACUAGAUACAAGUCAAAUAACUCUACAGUUGAUUGGAUAACAUUUUGAUAGUAGCUUACAAAACGGCCAAGACAUUAAAUUUGAUGCAAGACAAACAAUCAGACCUAUAUUCGAUUCAGAUUUAUAAAAUCAUCAAGGUAAACAUUGAAAUAGGUUAAUAUAACCUUUACAAAAAGGAAAUUGAUUUCAAUUAUUCAAUUUACCAAGAUA